CCUACGGGAGGCAGCAGUGGGGAAUUUUGGACAAUGGGCGCAAGCCUGAUCCAGCAAUGCCGCGUGAGUGAAGAAGGCCUUCGGGUUGUAAAGCUCUUUUGUCAGGGAAGAAACGGUGGUUCCUAAUAUGGACUACUAAUGACGGUACCUGAAGAAUAAGCACCGGCUAACUACGUGCCAGCAGCCGCGGUAAUACGUAGGGUGCAAGCGUUAAUCGGAAUUACUGGGCGUAAAGCGUGCGCAGGCGGUUAUAUAAGUCAGAUGUGAAAUCCCCGGGCUCAACCUGGGAACUGCAUUUGAGACUGUAUGGCUAGAGUGUGUCAGAGGGGGGUAGAAUUCCACGUGUAGCAGUGAAAUGCGUAGAUAUGUGGAGGAAUACCGAUGGCGAAGGCAGCCCCCUGGGAUAACACUGACGCUCAUGCACGAAAGCGUGGGGAGCAAACAGGAUUAGAUACCCUGGUAGUCCACGCCCUAAACGAUGUCUACUAGUUGUCGGGACUUAAUUGUCUUGGUAACGCAGCUAACGCGUGAAGUAGACCGCCUGGGGGAGUACGGUCGCAAGAUUAAAACCGUUAAAGGAUUGACCGGNUGAGAGNGCGACGACGACGACGAGGGAGGAGG
rnacentral:rRNA from 1 species